rnacentral:rRNA from 1 species
ACCGAAUAGAUACCCUGGUAGUCCACGCCCUAAACGAUGCGAACUGGAUGUUGGGUACGUUACGGUACUCAGUGUCGAAAGCUAAACGCGUUAAGUUCGCCGCCUGGGGAGUACGGUCGCAAGACUGAAACUCAAAGGAAUUGACGGGGGCCCGGCACAAGCGGUGGAGUAUGUGGUUUAAUUACGAUGCAACGCGAAGAACCUUACCUGGCCUUGACAUCUGUCGAAUCCUGCAGAGAUGCGGGAGUGCCGCAAGGAACGGACAAGACAGGUGCUGCAUGGCUGUCGUCAGCUCGUGUCGUGAGAUGUUGGGUUUAAAGUCCCGCAACGAGCGCAACCCUUGUCCCUAGUUGCCAGCACGUAAUGGUGGGAACUCUAGGGAGACUGCCGGUGACAAACCGGAGGAAGGUGGGGAUGACGUCAAGUCCUCAUGGCCCUUAC